GAUGAACGCUGGCGGCGUGCCUAAUACAUGCAAGUCGAGCGAACGGACGAGAAGCUUGCUUCUCUGAUGUUAGCGGCGGACGGGUGAGUAACACGUGGAUAACCUACCUAUAAGACUGGGAUAACUUCGGGAAACCGGAGCUAAUACCGGAUAAUAUUUUGAACCGCAUGGUUCAAAAGUAAAAGACGGUCUUGCUGUCACUUAUAGAUGGAUCCGCGCUGCAUUAGCUAGUUGGUAAGGUAACGGCUUACCAAGGCAACGAUGCAUAGCCGACCUGAGAGGGUGAUCGGCCACACUGGAACUGAGACACGGUCCAGACUCCUACGGGAGGCAGCAGUAGGGAAUCUUCCGCAAUGGACGAAAGCCUGACGGAGCAACGCCGCGUGAGUGAUGAAGGUCUUCGGAUCGUAAAACUCUGUUAUUAGGGAAGAACAUAUGUGUAAGUAACUGUGCACAUCUUGACGGUACCUAAUCAGAAAGCCACGGCUAACUACGUG
rnacentral:rRNA from 1 species